rnacentral:rRNA from 1 species
GGAUUAGUGGCGAACGGGUGAGUAACACGUGAGUAACCUGCCCUUAACUCUGGGAUAAGCCUGGGAAACUGGGUCUAAUACCGGAUAUGACUCCUCAUCGCAUGGUGGGGGGUGGAAAGCUUUUUGUGGUUUUGGAUGGACUCGCGGCCUAUCAGCUUGUUGGUGAGGUAAUGGCUCACCAAGGCGACGACGGGUAGCCGGCCUGAGAGGGUGACCGGCCACACUGGGACUGAGACACGGCCCAGACUCCUACGGGAGGCAGCAGUGGGGAAUAUUGCACAAUGGGCGAAAGCCUGAUGCAGCGACGCCGCGUGAGGGAUGACGGCCUUCGGGUUGUAAACCUCUUUCAGUAGGGAAGAAGCGAAAGUGACGGUACCUGCAGAAGAAGCGCCGGCUAACUACGUGCCAGCAGCCGCGGUAAUACGUAGGGCGCAAGCGUUAUCCGGAAUUAUUGGGCGUAAAGAGCUCGUAGGCGGUUUGUCGCGUCUGCCGUGAAAGUCCGGGGCUCAACUCCGGAUCUGCGGUGGGUACGGGCAGACUAGAGUGAUGUAGGGGAGACUGGAAUUCCUGGUGUAGCGGUGAAAUGCGCAGAUAUCAGGAGGAACACCGAUGGCGAAGGCAGGUCUCUGGGCAUUAACUGACGCUGAGGAGCGAAAGCAUGGGGAGCGAACAGGAUUAGAUACCCUGGUAGUCCAUGCCGUAAACGUUGGGCACUAGGUGUGGGGGACAUUCCACGUUUUCCGCGCCGUAGCUAACGCAUUAAGUGCCCCGCCUGGGG